AGAUUAAGUUAUUAAGGGCGCACGGUGGAUGCCUUGGCACUAGAAGCCGACGAAGGACGUUACUAACGACGAUAUGCUUUGGGGAGCUGUAAGUAAGCUUUGAUCCAGAGAUUUCCGAAUGGGGAAACCCAGCACGAGUUAUGUCGUGUUAUCGAUAUGUGAAUACAUAGCAUAUCUGAAGGCAGACGCGGAGAACUGAAACAUCUUAGUACCCGCAGGAAGAGAAAGAAAAAUCGAUUCCCUGAGUAGCGGCGAGCGAAACGGGAAGAGCCCAAACCAACGAGCUUGCUUGUUGGGGUUGUAGGACACUCUAUACGGAGUUACAAAAGAACAGACUAGACGAAUCAUCUGGAAAGAUGAAUCAAAGAAGGUAAUAAUCCUGUAGUCGAAAGUUUGUUCACUCUUGAGUGGAUCCUGAGUACGACGGAACACGAGAAAUUCCGUCGGAAUCUGGGAGGACCAUCUCCCAAGGCUAAAUACUCUCUAGUGACCGAUAGUGAACCAGUACCGUGAGGGAAAGGUGAAAAGUACCCCGGAAGGGGAGUGAAAUAGAACUUGAAACCGUGUGCUUACAAGUAGUCAGAGCCCGUUAAUGGGUGAUGGCGUGCCUUUUGUAGAAUGAACCGGCGAGUUACGAUUUGAUGCAAGGUUAAGCAGUGAAUGUGGAGCCGUAGCGAAAGCGAGUCUGAAUAGGGCGUUGAGUAUUUGGUCGUAGACCCGAAACCAGGUGAUCUACCCAUGACCAGGUUGAAGUUCAGGUAACACUGAAUGGAGGACCGAACCGACUUACGUUGAAAAGUGAGCGGAUGAGUUGUGGGUAGCGGAGAAAUUCCAAUCGAACCUGGAGAUAGCUGGUUCUCUCCGAAAUAGCUUUAGGGCUAGCCUCAAGUGAUGAUUAUUGGAGGUAGAGCACUGUUUGGACGAGGGGCCCUUAUCGGGUUACCGAAUUCAGACAAACUCCGAAUGCCAAUCAAUUUAACUUGGGAGUCAGAACGCGGGUGAUAAGGUCCGUGUUCGAAAGGGAAACAGCCCAGACCACCAGCUAAGGUCCCAAAAUAUAUGUUAAGUGGAAAAGGAUGUGGCGUUGCCCAGACAACUAGGAUGUUGGCUUAGAAGCAGCCAUCAUUUAAAGAGUGCGUAAUAGCUCACUAGUCGAGUGACACUGCGCCGAAAAUGUACCGGGGCUAAACAUAUUACCGAAGCUGUGGAUUGUCCGUAAGGACAAUGGUAGGAGAGCGUUCUAAGGGCGUUGAAGCAUGAUCGCAAGGACAUGUGGAGCGCUUAGAAGUGAGAAUGCCGGUGUGAGUAGCGAAAGACGGGUGAGGAUCCNNNNNNNNNNNNNNNNNNNNNNNNNNNNNNNNNNNNNNNNNNNNNNNNNNNNNNNNNNNNNNNNNNNNNNNNNNNNNNNNNNNNNNNNNNNNGGAAUCCCGUCCACCGAUUGACUAAGGUUUCCAGAGGAAGGCUCGUCCGCUCUGGGUUAGUCGGGUCCUAAGCUGAGGCCGAUAGGCGUAGGCGAUGGAUAACAGGUUGAUAUUCCUGUACCACCAUUAUUCGUUUUAAGCGAUGGGGGGACGCAGUAGGAUAGGCGAAGCGUACGAUUGGAUUGUACGUCCAAGCAGUGAGAUUGAGUGUUAGGCAAAUCCGGCACUCUUAAGAUUGAGCUGUGAUGGGGAGAGGAAAUUGUUUCCUCGAGUCGUUGAUUUCACACUGCCAAGAAAAGCCUCUAGCUAGAAUUGUGGUGCCCGUACCGCAAACCGACACAGGUAGUCAAGAUGAGAAUUCUAAGGUGAGCGAGCGAACUCUCGUUAAGGAACUCGGCAAAAUGACCCCGUAACUUCGGGAGAAGGGGUGCUCUUUAGGGUUAACGCCCAGGAGAGCCGCAGUGAAUAGGCCCAAGCGACUGUUUAUCAAAAACACAGGUCUCUGCUAAACCGUAAGGUGAUGUAUAGGGGCUGACGCCUGCCCGGUGCUGGAAGGUUAAGAGGAGUGGUUAGCUUCUGCGAAGCUACGAAUCGAAGCCCCAGUAAACGGCGGCCGUAACUAUAACGGUCCUAAGGUAGCGAAAUUCCUUGUCGGGUAAGUUCCGACCCGCACGAAAGGCGUAACGAUUUGGGCACUGUCUCAACGAGAGACUCGGUGAAAUCAUAGUACCUGUGAAGAUGCAGGUUACCCGCGACAGGACGGAAAGACCCCGUGGAGCUUUACUGUAGUCUGAUAUUGAAAUUCGGCACAGCUUGUACAGGAUAGGUAGGAGCCUGAGAUACGUGAGCGCUAGCUUACGUGGAGGCGUUGGUGGGAUACUACCCUCGCUGUGUUGGAUUUCUAACCCGCACCAUUUAUCAUGGUGGGAGACAGUGUCAGAUGGGCAGUUUGACUGGGGCGGUCGCCUCCUAAAGAGUAACGGAGGCGCUCAAAGGUUUCCUCAGAAUGGUUGGAAAUCAUUCAUAGAGUGUAAAGGCAUAAGGAAGCUUGACUGCGAGACUUACAAGUCGAGCAGGGUCGAAAGACGGACUUAGUGAUCCGGUGGUUCCGCAUGGAAGGGCCAUCGCUCAACGGAUAAAAGCUACCCCGGGGAUAACAGGCUUAUCUCCCCCAAGAGUUCACAUCGACGGGGAGGUUUGGCACCUCGAUGUCGGCUCAUCGCAUCCUGGGGCUGUAGUCGGUCCCAAGGGUUGGGCUGUUCGCCCAUUAAAGCGGUACGCGAGCUGGGUUCAGAACGUCGUGAGACAGUUCGGUCCCUAUCCGUCGUGGGCGUAGGAAAUUUGAGAGGAGCUGUCCUUAGUACGAGAGGACCGGGAUGGACAUACCUCUGGUGUACCAGUUGUCGUGCCAACGGCAUCGCUGGGUAGCUAUGUAUGGACGGGAUAAGUGCUGAAAGCAUCUAAGCAUGAAGCCCCCCUCAAGAUGAGAUUUCCCAACUUCGGUUAUAAGAUCCCUCAAAGAUGAUGAGGUUAAUAGGUUCGAGGUGGAAGCAUAGCGAUAUGUGCAGCUGACGAAUACUAAUCGAUCGAAGACUUAAUCAAAUUUUA
rnacentral:rRNA from 1 species